rnacentral:rRNA from 1 species
GGAUUAGAUACCCUGGUAGUCCUUGCCGUAAACGAUGCACACUUGGUGUAGUCGGAAUCAACCCCGAUUGUGCCGGAGCUAACGCGUUAAGUGUGCCGCCUGGGGAGUACGCUCGCAAGGGUAAAACUCAAAAGAAUUGACGGGGACCCGCACAAGCAGUGGAGCAUGUGGUUUAAUUCGAUGCAACGCGAAGAACCUUACCCAGACUUGACAUGUAGAGGAUGGUACUAGAGAUAGUGCUUCCCUUAGUGGUCUCUACACAGGUGCUGCAUGGCUGUCGUCAGCUCGUGCUG